rnacentral:tRNA from 1 species
GGAGUUGUGGCUCAGUGGUAGAGUGCUUGCCUAGCGCAUGCAGGGCCCUGGGUUUGAUCCUCAGCACCA